rnacentral:rRNA from 1 species
CAAGCGGUGGAGUAUGUGGCUUAAUUCGAUGCAACGCGAAGAACCUUACCUGGCCUUGACAUGCAAGUGGUAGAACCAUGAAAGUGGGACGAUCCCGCAAGGGAAGCUUGCACAGGUGCUGCAUGGCUGUCGUCAGCUCGUGUCGUGAGAUGUUGGGUUAAGUCCCGCAACGAGCGCAACCCUUGUGUCCUGUUGCCACUUCCUCGAGAGAGGAAAGCACUCUGGACAGACUGCCUCGCUUAAACGGGGAGGAAGGUGGGGAUGACGUCAAGUCAGUAUGGCCCUUACGGCCAGGGCUGCACACGUACUACAAUGCCCGAUACAGAGGGAAGCAAGACCGUCAGGUGGAGCAAAUCCCAGAAAAUCGGGCCCAGUUCACAUUGUCGUCUGCAACUCGACGGCAUGAAGUUGGAAUCGCUAGUAAUGGCGCAUCAGCUACAGCGCCUUGAAUACCUUCCCAGGCCUUGUACACACC